UACGUAGGGUGCGAGCGUUGUCCGGAAUUACUGGGCGUAAAGGGCGUGCAGGCGGUCUGAUAAGUUCGGCGUGAAAUAUUCCGGCUUAACCGGGAUAGGUCGUCGGAGACUGUCGGACUAGAGGGUGAUAGAGGCGUGUGGAAUUCCGGGUGUAGUGGUGAAAUGCGUAGAGAUCCGGAGGAACACCAGUGGCGAAGGCGACACGCUGGGUCACACCUGACGCUAAAGCGCGACAGCAUGGGGAGCGAACGGG
rnacentral:rRNA from 1 species